AUGGGUACACAUCUGAUGCGGAAUGCGCACGGAACGGUGCCCGUGUAUUGCGGAUCCGCAAAUGUGGGCCGCACAUGUUCCUAUGAACGAUCCCUACAAUCAAAACUUUCUGACACUUAUUCCUGAAAAGAACAAAUUCAAUGGCAAGUCCGACCCAUGGCACUUUUAUCAGUAGAGUGUACACUGCAUGGGCAGUAGAUACUGGUGCAACAUGUGGCAGUAUUAUUAGGAGGUAUUAGUAAGGAGAUCGUGUAAUAAAAUGGUUUAAAUCCGAAAAAUCGGAAGAAUGAAAAAAAAAAACACAACUUAAAAAUUAACUUGCAGAAAAACAACCUCUGUGUAGAUGGAGAAAAACACUGACUGGCAAUUUUUUUGCACUGUUUGCAUUCUGUCUUCACUGAACAAUAAAGGAGCAAAGUAUGAAUAGUCAAUGUUCAAGAGGAGCUUGGAAAACUAGGGACUGCUUGUGUCACAGGUCCAGAUCUUCUGUUCACACAAGCUGAACCUGCACAGUCUAUGAUGUGAGGUUUUGGAUUUUGCAAACACAUUUCAUACUGUCCCUCAUAAAUGCUUAAUUGAUAAAAUAAGGUCUACAGGAUUUAAAACUGGCUGAAGGACAAUGUCCAGAGAGUUGUGGUCAAUGAUUCCUAUACAGAAUGGUCCCGGAUUAUAAGUGGUGUACCCCAAGGUUCAGUAAUGCGUCCCCUAUUUUACUUAUUUAUUAAAUGGGAUCAUCCAACCCCUAUAAUGUCCCCAAAAUACCCAUGCACCUCAUACAGGUUAUAAUUGCCCGGCACCCGCAUCGCUCCUGAUGCCCGCUGCUGCAUCUCUCCUGUGCGCGGAUCAAAACAUCUUGACGCUAGUGAGGCUCGUCCCCGCCGCGGCCUGCUAUUAAUGCAGCGGCGCAGGGCAUUAUCAUGAUUUAUAAUGCUAUGUGCCUCUGUUUGACCUUACUUCUACAGGAUCAUAGUGACAGCUUUAUGUCACUACGAUUCUGCAGCAGUAACGUCAAGCAGAGACACAUAGCAGUAUCAAUCAUGAUAAUGCCCUGCGCUCCUGCAAGACCACAACAGAGGAUCACGAUCACAUACGGAGCGCGAUUCCCACAAUGGACUCGCUAGUGUAAAACAGCCCUUAGGGUCCUUUAAAGAUCAGACCAAUUAUCAAGAACAAGCAUUCAUACUGUAUGAAUGGUCAUUCCCAAUAUUGGUCUGUGUGCUGACACAUGUUUAGGCUUUUUGAUGCAGUUUUUAAAGCCAAAAUAAGAUGUGCAUCAUAACAGGAGAGAAAGCAUUAGGGCAAAUACUACUUCUCCACUUUUUUCUAUCAAUUUCUAGGUUCGGCUUCAAAAACUGCAUUGGAAAAACCUGAACAUGUGUCAGCUCCCUAAGGGUCUGCAGGUCAUGUGACA